ensembl:misc_RNA Metazoa_SRP Metazoan signal recognition particle RNA
GCCAGGCGUGGUGGCGCGUGCCUGUAGUCCCAGCUACUCCGGAGGCUGAGGUGGGAGGAUCGCUUGAGCCCAGGAGUUCUGGGCUGCAGUGCGCUAUGCCAAUCGGGCAUCCGCACUAAGUUCGGCAUCAAUACGGUGACCUCCCGGGAGCCGGGGACCACCAGGUUGCCUAAGGAGGGGUGAACUGGCCCAGGUCGGAAACGGAGCAGGUCAAAACUCCUAUGCUGAUCAGUAGUGGUAUUGUGCCUGUGAAUAGCCACUGCAUUCCAGCCUGGGCAACAUAGCGAGAACCUGUCUCU